rnacentral:rRNA from 1 species
CACGUAGGGGGCGAGCGUUGUCCGGAAUCAUUGGGCGUAAAGAGCUCGUAGGCGGCUCGGUAAGUCGGGUGUGAAACCCCCAGGCUCAACCUGGGGACGCCACCCGAUACUGCUGUGGCUAGAGUCCAGUAGGGGAGUGUGGAAUUCCCGGUGUAGCGGUGAAAUGCGCAGAUAUCGGGAGGAACACCAGCGGCGAAGGCGGCACUCUGGGCUGGAACUGACGCUGAGGAGCGAAAGCAUGGGGAGCGAACAGG